GCUUACUUUGGCAGCACCAUAUGCUAAAAUUGAAAUGAUACAGAGAAGAUUAACCUGGCCCCUGCACAAGGAUGACAUGCAAAUUUGUCAAGUGUUCCAUAUUUAA
rnacentral:snRNA from 1 species